GAUGAUCGGUGCUUGCACCGAGAUUCAACAUGGAACGAGUGGCGGACGGGUGAGUAACACGUGGGUAACCUGCCCUUAAGUGGGGGAUAACAUUUGGAAACAGAUGCUAAUACCGCAUAGAUCCAAGAACCGCAUGGUUCUUGGCUGAAAGAUGGCGUAAGCUAUCGCUUUUGGAUGGACCCGCGGCGUAUUAGCUAGUUGGUGAGGUAAUGGCUCACCAAGGCGAUGAUACGUAGCCGAACUGAGAGGUUGAUCGGCCACAUUGGGACUGAGACACGGCCCAAACUCCUACGGGAGGCAGCAGUAGGGAAUCUUCCACAAUGGACGCAAGUCUGAUGGAGCAACGCCGCGUGAGUGAAGAAGGCUUUCGGGUCGUAAAACUCUGUUGUUGGAGAAGAAUGGUCGGCAGAGUAACUGUUGUCGGCGUGACGGUAUCCAACCAGAAAGCCACGGCUAACUACGUGCCAGCAGCCGCGGUAAUACGUAGGUGGCAAGCGUUAUCCGGAUUUAUUGGGCGUAAAGCGAGCGCAGGCGGUUUUUUAAGUCUGAUGUGAAAGCCCUCGGCUUAACCGAGGAAGCGCAUCGGAAACUGGGAAACUUGAGUGCAGAAGAGGACAGUGGAACUCCAUGUGUAGCGGUGAAAUGCGUAGAUAUAUGGAAGAACACCAGUGGCGAACGCGGCUGUCUGGUCUGUAACUGACGCUGAGGCUCGAAAGCAUGGGUAGCGAACAGGAUUAGAUACCCUGGUAGUCCAUGCCGUAAACGAUGAAUGCUAGGUGUUGGAGGGUUUCCGCUCUUCAGUGCCGCAGCUAACGCAUUAAGCAUUCCGCC
rnacentral:rRNA from 2 species